CUUCCUGCAAGCAUGUUUCUAAUAUUUAAAAGUGCAAAUACUUUUACCUUGUCUUGUGAUUUAAAAUAUCGAAUAUCUUUAGUUCGAUACUUUUUACUGUUAUAUGAACAGUGGCAACUUUAUUUAAAAAGCAUUUUGAUUAUCUUAAUCAGUUUUCUGGAAAUUAUUGUCUGAGUUCUUUUACAGUUUGGAACUAUUGAUGACUCUAUAGUAGUCAUAUUUUGAUACUACAAUAUAUGCCUGGUCUUCUGUUCCAGACAUAAACCCUAGAUUUUAAAUAACUAAAUAACUCUGUUGAUUCCUUUUCACCGUAUUGCGGUGGACUUCAAAACUAUACUCAGACUUUGAUAAAAUUGGUUUUGACAGUACUUUGAAAUUGAAAACUAAAGAGUUUUCAGAAAGUUUUGAAAGGAUGAUUGUAUGGCGUAAGGGGCUAGUGAUUAGUCCAGCCAGAGAGACCAGCAAAAAUAUUUUGUUUUGAUUGGAUGUAUGCGUAAGAGGCCGGGACGGCGGUCCAGUGAAGGGCUAUUUAGGUAUUAUUGAAAUAUGAUAAUACUUUGCUGCCAAAGGCCAAUGUGUUGCCUUCUAUUUGGUACCUGUUAAUUAGGACAUGCUUCUACGAAGUGUGGUCCCGUGCUAUCACAUGGUAUGAUCAAUUGUGAUAGUGCACCCGUUAGUUGAGAUUCCAAUCCAAAAACUGGUCAUUUAUUGUUUAAGCUUAUAAUAGCUUAUGUUUACUGUCAAAUUUAUCUUGUGAUUUUCAAGCAUAUUGAUUUAUAUGUUUGCUAAACUUUUGAGUUACAACUGUUACAUUUACUUCAAAAGUUUGCUUUAUUUCAAAUACUCUGAUUUAAUUCAAAAGAAAUUAUAUCUUGUGGCUCUUGCCUUUCACACUAUCUUGCUGAGCAUUUUCGCUCACCCUUGCUAUUAUUUCUAACCAUUUCAGCUAGGGAUUAAGAAGGUAACAUGUAUAAGCUGCGCGUAAGAUUGAUGAUAGGCGAC
rnacentral:lncRNA from 1 species